rnacentral:rRNA from 1 species
UACGAAGGGGGCUAGCGUUGCUCGGAAUCACUGGGCGUAAAGGGUUCGUAGGCGGGUUUUUGAGUCAGGGGUGAAAUCCUGGAGCUCAACUCCAGAACUGCCUUUGAUACUGAGGAUCUUGAGUUCGGGAGAGGUGAGUGGAACUGCGAGUGUAGAGGUGAAAUUCGUAGAUAUUCGCAAGAACACCAGUGGCGAAGGCGGCUCACUGGCCCGAUACUGACGCUGAGGCACGAAAGCGUGGGGAGCAAACAGG